AGUUGAUAGCCUACUUACAAGAAGCAAAUCUCCAACAAACCCGAGGUGCAUUUGCUCUUGUCUCUCUGAGCAAAUAUAUCAGGCCCUGAGAUGCCAAGAUCCUCAAGCAGAUAAUAAUGAUGCUUUUCAGACCAGGACUUCAAACUGCUUAGCUGUGAUUAGCCUUCUUUUUAAACACAGGAAAACUGGGGUGAUGUGAAGGAAUCCACUGACAGGUCAAAGGGAGGCUCAAGGAAGCCUUGGCCCCACGCUGGGCCCCACUUACCUGGGGGCAAGGAGGCCCUGCUGGCUUCUGGACAGAAGUGAAUUGAGUCUCUUAUUGAUGUCUCCAGGGCCAAGUCCUGUGAGCCAAGGAGGCGGGUUGCAAGAUCAAUUCUGGAAGGCCCUUCUAUGGUCAGCUUUGUCCAGAGGCAUCCGUGUGUUACGGAGUAAGAGAGGCGGCUUACUCGUUGGAAUAAGGUUUGAGUCCUGUGACAGGAACCUCAGUUUUCUCAUCUGUGAAAUGGGGAUAGUGCCCUUUGGCACAGGGCUCAUUAAGGACUAAUUAGAUGUGGCAGAGUGUAGCGCAGUAUAUGGCACAGACCCAAGCAGUAGUAAUCAUAAGAGUCAUAAUCCCACCAUCGUCAUCAUCAUCUCCCUGUGAAAAGACUACUUCCCAAGCAGUGGAGAUCCCAAGAAUCUCAAAGAUUCGAGGGGGCGAAGAAAACUCACCCCACACUCCUGGACCCUCCAGGCCACUGCAGCUAAGGGAGGAGAGCAACUCCAUAGAAACAGUGACAAGAUUUCCUGGAAGCUGCCCAGGACGUGGUAUCUGGCUGGAGCCGUGGUCUAACAGCUGUGUGGGCAUUAUAAAUCUCUCUCUUGGAGAUGAGGCUCUAAGGCUCUCGAUGGAUCCUGCUAAUGGUAAAUCUGUCAGUGCCCACAGCACGAGACCUGGACUCAGAGCAUCAAGGUGAGACUGUCUGCUUCCCUCAAGUCUGUUCAUUGCACCUGCUGUCUAUUUCUCUCCAAACGUGGAGGGCUGUCACCUUCUUCACUGAAAGCGUCAAGGGAGUUUUAACUGCAAGGUAGACUGUGCUUCAGGUCCAACUGAAAUGCCUCUGAAGCCAAAGUUUCACCUGAAAACUUUCUGCCAGAAG